rnacentral:misc_RNA from 1 species
AGCAUCACAUUAUACUAGGAACAGUGUUUCAAUGGCCAGAACAAAUGCUAAAAAUCCUUCUGGGUGGCAGGAUGCUUUACCCAACAUGGUUCCACAUGCAUAUGCUCAUCCAAGCCCCUCCCAGCCCAACAUGGGCAGUGCCACUUUAAACAUGGUGCCUCCUCGACCUGAAGUGUAUAGCCAGCCUAUUCCGCAGUCAAACCAUGGCCAAAACAUUUAUCAGAAUCAAAGUCAAAAUGUUGUCAAUUCGAGUUUUCCUGAUUUUGACUAUAAUUGGAUUAGCAACUUGAGUGAAAGCAAUGAGCAAGUUUCAGCUGAAAAUAUCCAUCCACAUGCCACAGGGUCCAACAAAGAGCCCACAUCAGUCGAGCAGUUUAGUUCCUACUUUGCUGAAAACACCGAACUACACCAGAAGGACCAUGAUUAUGAGAGCUGGUA